AUACUUAUACCUCCCUCCUAUCCUUUAUGGCAGGGAAAAAUACAGUCAUAUAGAGUAAUAUCUGUCCUUGUAAGCCAUUGAGAUCUUGUCCUGUUAUCAGCUUCAGCCAAAAAUCUCUUCUAUUGCCCUCGAACUAGUUGAUAUCUAGAGAUCAAUGCACUUUCUUUUGCCUAGAGAUCAAUGCACUUUCUUUUGCCUUUAGGAUUGACCCACAUUUACAUGACGUGAGUUCUGGAUUGAAUCAUCAGUGUCCAGGGUAUCUCUAAUUUUCCCUAUCAUGAGCAAACCCAAGUACUUGUGCUAGUACUUGUGCACAUG
rnacentral:lncRNA from 1 species